rnacentral:rRNA from 1 species
GGGAAACGAUGUGGGAAGGCUCAGACAGCCAGGAUGUUGGCUUAGAAGCAGCCAUCAUUUAAAGAAAGCGUAAUAGCUCACUGGUCGAGUCGGCCUGCGCGGAAGAUGUAACGGGGCUAAGUAGUAAACCGAAGCUGCGGCAAUGUGCUUUUGCACAUUGGGUAGGGGAGCGUUCUGUAAGCGGUUGAAGGUGUGUGGUAACGCAUGCUGGACGUAUCAGAAGUGCGAAUGCUGACAUGAGUAACGAUAAAGGGGGUGAAAAACCUCCUCGCCGGAAGACCAAGGGUUCCUGUCCAACGUUAAUCGGGGCAGGGUAAGUCGACCCCUAAGGCGAGGCCGAAAGGCGUAGUCGAUGGGAAACGGGUUAAUAUUCCCGUACUUCUUACAAUUGCGAUGGGGGGACGGAGAAGGCUAGGUGGGCCUGGCGACGGUUGUCCAGGUUCAAGUGCGUAGGCUUGA